rnacentral:rRNA from 1 species
UACGAAGGGGGCUAGCGUUGCUCGGAAUCACUGGGCGUAAAGGGUGCGUAGGCGGGUCUUUAAGUCAGGGGUGAAAUCCUGGAGCUCAACUCCAGAACUGCCUUUGAUACUGAAGAUCUUGAGUUCGGGAGAGGUGAGUGGAACUGCGAGUGUAGAGGUGAAAUUCGUAGAUAUUCGCAAGAACACCAGUGGCGAAGGCGGCUUCCUGGUCUGCAACUGACGCUGUGGCGCGAAAGCUAGGGGAGCAAACGGG